AACACCUAGCUAUCUCCCCAUUCGCAAUGAGCAGUUUUCACACGAUGAUGUUCCUCUUCCCCCGGCCCUUCUAUUUCGCGAUUGCGGCGGCGGCGGCAGGGACAGCACCAGAGGACGACCCGACUGCUAUGGCUACUUCUCUCGAGCGUGGUGUACUCCCCUUUCCCUCUCCCAUGCGGUGGCGAACCGGAGGCGACGUGGGCAGUGCAACGAUCGGGGCGAGCUCGGCGGCGCCAACAGCCUUCUACGGCAUCCAUCUCCUCCCUCGGCGGUCUUAUCGCCCCCCUCCUCCUCUUCUUAACCUCUCCUCCUCCACUAAUUUCUGAAUUUCUAGGAUUAGGGUUAUUGAUUUUUGGGAGCGGUGCAGGGGAAGGGGAAGAAACUAGGGAAGUAAAGGAAAAAAGAGGAGCUUAGGGGGUGAUGGAGGUGAUGCUGGAGACGGGCGCCCGACAGUGAGAUGAUGGAGGUGGAGAAGAAGGCCAAUCCGAUGACAUAGAAGAAGAGGAGAGCUCAAUGCUGCGGAGAGAAAGGAACAUCAGUAGAGUAUCCGACUUUGAUUCAGCUGAGACAUUUUCGUUUUUUCGCAAGACAUGUGAAUCCUCUCUGCGUUUUUUGCUUUUGUUUAGAAUUCACGAAUUUUCUUCCUUGUAGCUAUAAAUGAUGGUUCCGACUUAAUUGGAUUUUAGUAAUGACGUACAUAAAGAAUCAAUCUAUACGGCUGUACCUAGCUGACAAUGCUAAUUCUCUGUAAAUUUGUAUUAUCAAAAUUUGCACAAACCUACGAGCAAAAUUUUCUUCAAUUAAAGAUGAUUCAUUUUAUGAGGAAUUUGUUUUAUAUUUAGUGAAUUUAUUAGGCAAACAAGGAAUUGGAAUUCUGCCAAGAAAUCUAGGGGCAGAAGAAGAUGCAUGCAAGGGACUUGCGGACUAGGCAAAUGCUGUGCAGGCGAGAAAAUGCUCAAGUUCCAUGACUCCAAGUUCACCUUGAUGUAUUCAGUUUGGAGCAAUUCGUGAUUACUACCAGCUUCAAAUUAGAUUUAUCUGAAUUGCAAUGAGGUACAAGACUGUCCCUCUUCCUUGCUGUCUUAUCUUCGGUGUUUAUUUGGUUGAACUAGCAUAAACCUAACUUUUAAUACUGACGUGUUUCCGCCCAAUUUGUGCAGUAAGCCAUGCUAGUCAUCAAGUAAUCAAUCUCAAUGUUCCCUUAAUAGAUGAUUGCUAUUGAUUUGCUGUGGCUUAACUAUCAACGACAAAACAUUUCCCUUUUCCCCCUAAUACUGGUUUAUUUGCUCCUUCUAGGAGGCCUGCAUUUUGCUAAUUGUCUAUUUGCUAGAGAAGUAGUGGCAAUGAACUGAUGCCUUAUCUGAAUAGCUUCAGAAAUUCUUAACAUGAAAUACAUAAUAUACUUAUCUGUAUGUGGUUCAUGCUUCGUUGUUUAAAUUUUCUCUUUGUUAAAUGUUGGCGAGUAGAUAUAUAUUCUUGAUUCGUUAUCCUGAAUCUGAAUUUGGGGAAGAUGAUCUAACUAGCUUCUAAAUCAGCUGAGUUGUACUGAUGAUGGUGUGUUUGCUGCUCACACAUUUUAUUCCAAGGACCAUUAUGACAAAUAAUGGCCACUUAUAGGUUGCUGGUAAUGCAUUUUCACACCAUACAUAUGCUUGUGCUUACCCCCGUUGGGUAAUCAAUAUGAUACUGGUGCACUAAUUUGUGGAUUUCGGUUUGUUUUAUACAUGAAAAUAAGGUAAGAGUGUUAUGUCAGCUUCAAGUCCCUCGAAACCACAUACUUUUGUUCGUCUUGUUCUAGGUUACCUUCUUCCAUGGUGGCAUGAAUCUGUCUUACAAAAAAUAGACGUGGAUGCUUUCUUCGUCAGUUCCAUGUAAUUUUUGUCUCGUUGAUCUGUAAUUUCGGAUGUAUGUGAGUUUUUGAGGUGCACAGUUCACUAGCAUUACCUAGGUUAAGCAUAUCUUUGCUCCCACAUUUGCAUGACACAUGAUUUAUACUUUGGAUUGUAUAUGAAUUACUGUUUGUGUAUGCAUAUGCUACAGUUUGCACCUCUAGUAUUUUAACUUCCUACUUCAGUGGAUGUGGUAAAGUGCAACAAUACUCAAUUAGGCCUUACUGAUUUUUAUGGUCGUCUUUUUAGCAUCUGGCAAAGCAGUAAGAUUAAUGAUGUAAUGGCCGUAACUAUACUUCUUGUCGAAAAGCGAUCUAUGGGAAAACCUCCUCAAGAAUCUGGAGGAUGUAGUGAGAGAUCUGACCUGGGAUUGUUACUCUCAUACAACCCUAUUCACAUCCAUGUUGUACUUGCACUUGCGAGCUUCUCAUUGGCUCUGAAAAUUGAAUGAAACAGUUCUCAUUUUCAGUCAUAUUUUUCUGGGUAAUCCACACGGGACGAAAAGCACAUUAGGCAUGCAUACAAUUGUCAAAUUUUACAGGCUGAAAUUUUGGAAUAAUUGUCAAUUGGUUUUCAGUCGAUUGGCUGUCAAUCUUUGCAGAUUUAUCAGUUUAACCCGCCCUCAAUCUAGGAGUAAUCUUGUAUAACAUUCAGUUACAAGACACAAACUAGUUAAAUAUGAUGACUCCCACCAUUGUAUCUGGCACACUUUGAUAAAAUACAUGGUUUAGUGUGCAUUGAAACAAUAGUUACGGAGUUUGCCUGUUUAUAUUGUUUCUCACUAUACUUUUGAUUCAUAGUGUGUUAUGGGUUCAUGUGAUUCCGAACAGUUUGGUACAUCUAAUAUCCCUCUGAGUUAUGUAUGCUUUCAACAUUGUGUCCAGUUUAGGGUAGUGAAGCAUAUUAAUCCUAAAGUGUUAUAUGCGCUUGUGUGUUGGGGGCCUCUAUUUGUUUGUUAGUAUACUUCUGAGAACUGAUAAUAUUAUGCUUUUCAGGUAUCUGUUCAAGUGGAUGACAGUAAAUGUAUGAGGGUAGAGAGUAAUGUCUUCUUAUUUAUGGUGGGUACGAGUAACAUUAAAUUGAAAUUUCAGACCUUUAACUAAUCCCUCCAUCCCACGGUAUAAGAUGUUUUUGCAAACUAAACAUAGCUUGCAAAAACGUCUUAUAUUGUGGGACGGAGGGAGUAGUAACCAGUAGCAAAAUUCAGGAUUUGGUGAGAAGAAAAGUGAACCUAAGGGCUCCAAUACUAUUAAUAGCACAAUACUAUGUUGCAUUCACCGUUUCAGUCCUGGAGAGAUUGCUGAACAGAUGAAGUUGAUGGAAAAUUCUAUGGUCACCUAAAAAUUAAGCUGCUUGAAGAUCAAGUUCAGAAGUACUGCAGUCAGCUUUCAAGUUCGGUAGUAUUCAGUUUUGUAAUAGUGAUUUCUGAAUAUGUCAUGCUACUAGUUACUUAGUGCUAAGUGGCAUUCAGUUGUUUUCAAACAAUUUUUUUUUUCUAAUUGCAAGGAUAGUUUUUGUUACAUGGGGUAUUUCCCUGAACCACUACAUGGAAUCUAUUUAU